UUCUCUCAGUUUACGUCUGGGUCUGCUGUCUAUCAGCCCGUCUCGUCUAUAAACCUGUUAAUCUGUGUAUAAACUGUCUGUCUGUGGAGUGGAGCCAUUAGACAACAGAGUCUGCAUCAGUCCGAGACCCUGGCCGUCUUCCUUGGCCCUGUCUGUCUGAUUGUGUGGCUGUUUGUCUUAACGCCACUCGUCUCCAUCUGACUGUGUUGUACGUGUCACCUUCACUGUCUGUCAGUCACUCUGUUAGUGCCGUCGCU